GCCAUGGGGAGUGAUUUAUUGAUGUUUAUCGGGAAUGAAUAGAUCAAAGGCAGGCCAGAUGACAGGCAAUCAAUCAGCCAUCAAAUCGGAGAUGGCAAUUGCCCAUUAAACCCUCUUCCAAUCCACAUACUCUCAUUGUCGACUACAAAAUCAUCUUUAGCUAAAGUCUUCGCAGACUGAAAAAAACAACCCAGAAACGGGGCGAAAGUUGACAUUUUGUGAUCAAAUGGUUUCGCACAAAGGCCCCAAAGUGCACAAAACAACUGCGAAGGCGAGCAUCAAAAGGAUUCAUGACAGUCAGCUGACAUAAGAACCCUUUUUUUCUCCGCUUCUUCAUAGAUCUCUAAUUCAUCCAAGUGAGUCUGUGAACCGAAGGAAAAACGUGGGGGAGGGAUGGAGGUGCCACUACAAGGGAAAUAUCAAAACUUCCAAGUUAACUUUACAGGGAUAUGCUAACAGUUCCCCCAGAAGCCUUUGUCGUUCGUAAAAGCCAGACCAGAAGCGAAACGUAUUUCAUCUAGUAGUGAACUUCGGGGACAGAAAAGUUCACACAAAAAAACCCGCAACGUCUCCUAGUAAUAACGGCUCCAGAAGAUUCCCAAGGACCCUUGUAUCUGUCCUGUUACAGGAGAGAGAGGGGAAAAAAAACUUCCGUGGAGCAAUCAUCCCUAUUAGGUAUUUAAAGACAGGAACAGCAAAUCAGAGGCGACUUCCUUGCUCCAGAUGCCGUCUUCGCUUAAAAAGAGUCAGGCAGAAAUUCAGUAACAAACAAUUUCCUUGUUUUUCUGAGCACAGAAGGGAAAAAGACCGCUCUCACUUUUUACGGUAAGAUCAAAAUUCGCCAAAUAUCCCCAUCGUUCAAGAUCUGGGAUCAUUCCAAAUACAUUACAGUUGCACAGAUGCAGCCUCUUUGCAUCUUACAUAGGCGGGUUUUUCUUUAAUGUAUGUUCUUUUUUUAUUUUUAUUUUUCAAGUUAAGGAAAAUCGAAAUACUUUUCAAAAGGAAAAAAAAAAGGUGGAUAAGUUGUCCGUAUUUUUCAGAUCGUCUUUAGGAUAAAAACGCAACGGUCCAUUCCCUGGGGGGAAGGCUACUGUCUGUGAGGGAAAAAAAAAAUGACGAAUAAUUUCUUGCAAACAAGAAAAUGGUGAGUUGUCAAAUUCUGCUUCUCCUGCCAAAUGUGUUCAAUUCCAUGCCGUUGACAUUUCGCUGGUCUCUUCUCACACUAUAACAGUCACAGUUAUCUGAUCACAGAAGGAACGAUCAAACCAAGGUAGGAAAGAGAGCCUUUGGAAACGAGCAGAAUAUCCGAUCCCUGUGCUACUGCCGGCCAGGCUUGUGUUGGGAAGAGAAAGAACUGACUUUCACUGAUUCGGGAUGUUUUUAGCCCAAUCUCUCUCCGUGUGCCGCUAUAGCAUUGCAUGCCGUUAGAUCCGCCCAAACAUCUGUCCGUCUAACCAUUGGCGCAUCCAUCAGUGUCACAGUGGCUGCACAUCGCAACGACAAUGCCUCAGACAUAACAGAGGCUGCGAGGCUCAAUACGAAUAGCUACAACACUGUAACUUCGCCGAAAACACGGUAGACAUAACAGUGACUGGGUCUUUGAUCUUAAAAUACACGGCGUUUUCAUUUUCGAUCGCUGUAAACUAACUGCGUCAGACAUAGGGGAGAUCUGUGCAAUCACUGGUCUUUUUUUGCGUCGUUUAAAAAGACGGAAAUGUAGCGCUAGGUAAAUGCGAUCUGCUGUAUGAAACUAUUGAAGAAAAUAUUUUGAAAAGACUUUUGAGAAAACUACUACUAACAAGUUUCUGCGGACAAAGCAAAACUGUCGGAAUGCUAGUUUGUUUUAAUGUUUUGUAAAUAAUUAUCGGUCUGAAGAAGAAACUUAAAAUAUCAGUUGUGUUACAGUGUGUCGUAAUGGAGUCCAUAAGGAGAAAAGUUACAUGAAACGAGAUGAACGCUACAAUAUUACUUUCUGCGAAGGCGUUGGAUGUUAAUUAUAACAUGAACAGCGAAUCAGUUGCUCCUUUAGUUUUCAGGUUUUGUUGGGUUACGUUGCGCUCUAGAACAGCAUCAGACCCGAUGUAGACCAUUCCCUUAUUGUCUAAUAUCUAGGGCAGCCACACAGCCUGAAUCCUAUAGUUAAAAAAGAAACACGAAAACAAAAGGAAUUAUAUCGUUCUUAAAAUGCAUCCUAAAUACGCGAGCAACAGUUUGUUUCACUUGCCCUGUAAACGUCUUAAAGACAAUCGCACCGUGAAAAACGAUAUGCACGAGAGUGUGGUCAAUUAAGCCGUUAAAAACGAUUUUUUUCCAACUGUACAUGGAUUCAAAAAGUACACUUCCGUAGGUCAAUUUGUUACGAUUUAAAAGUCGAGAUCUUUUGAACUUAGCCUAGGUAAAAACAGUACUGUACACAUAACAAAUGUCUAUUAGGAUCCUGAUUUUUUACUAAAUCUGAUGGCAUACGUACGUUGUUAUGAUCUUUAUAAUGAGUAUUAUAAUAGAUUUUUUUUUUAAUCAGAAGGGAAUAGAAGAUGUCCUAAGUUGUUCAGUCCGACUUUUUACCAGUCCAUUACAAAUCUAUUUACUACACCCUACACAGCACUUUGUGUAAGAGCGUGUUCUUUCACAGCGGGGCCUGUAUCAGUCUCACGUGAUCUCCUAAGGCAGAGAGAUAGCCUACUUAAUGACAACGUGAUGAAAAAGUGGUUAAUUGUUUAAAACCAGCUGUAUUCUGUAAAGUUGUGUUACAGGGUGUAUUAAGAAACUCGUGCCGGAAGACAACUUGCUUAAUGUAUGUAUUUAGGCGAUAUAUUUUAACUAUGAUCUGUAUAAUAAAGAACGAUUCAAUAAACUGAACUUUUGAAAACA